GCGCUUCUAGCUCAUCUGGUAGAGCACCUGACUCUUAAUCAGGGUGUGCAGGGUUCGAUCCCCUGGAGGCGCA
rfam:Parasporobacterium paucivorans DSM 15970 genome assembly, contig: EJ69DRAFT_scaffold00002.2